CCCCAACCCCACAUGAGAAGCACAGUUGCCUCUGAGAACCCGGAAUGUGGACACAGCCAAUAAGCCCUCGUCCUGUCAGUAAGAAAAAGCGCAUCAUAGCUUUUGUUAUCAUCUGGUUAGGAUGGGCUGUGACCACACAUGCUGGAGACAAUAGCUUGUUCUCCUAUCCACACUGACCCUGCUGAUUCUGAGCCCUGGAGAGAGGUCGUUCCCAUGAACUGCUCUCUGGCACUGCUGUACCAGAAAUAUGAAUACAGACACAG
rnacentral:lncRNA from 1 species